UCUCAAACUUUCCACAAGUGCCUCUAUUCCAUCCACGAGGCUUCUGAAUCUGACCUAACGGUUUCAAUUUAUUCCCUGGUACUGAUUUCCUCGAGGUUUCUAUGGAUGUUUUCAAUGUGUUUCCUUGUACUGAAGAAGAUAUUGAUUGUUUUCUCGAGGUCUCUAUGAAUGGUUUCACUUGAUUCCCUUGAACGGAAGCAGAUAUUGAAGGUUUUCUCAAGUUGUCUAUUUGACCACGGUUGAUAUUAAUAUCACUAGAAGACGACAAAGUAACACCAUUUCUCUUUUG
rnacentral:lncRNA from 1 species